CACGAACGGUGUUAAUACCGCAUAAUGCAGCGGCAUCACAUGAUGACAGUUGUUAAAGCGGGGAAUUGGAGCAAUCCGACCUCGCGCCUGAAGAGAAGCCUGCGGCAGAUUAGGUAGUUGGUGAGGUAAUGGCUCACCAAGCCCGCGAUCUGUAACCGGCCUGAGAGGGCGGUCGGUCACACUGACACUGACAUACGGGUCAG
rnacentral:rRNA from 1 species